rnacentral:SRP_RNA from 12 species
GGCCUUUGCAGCGGAGUUGCAGGAACGCGGCUCAGGCGAGGAAGGCAGCA